rnacentral:rRNA from 1 species
AGUGAACGCUGGCGGUAGGCCUAACACAUGCAAGUCGAACGGCAGCACAGUAAGAGCUUGCUCUUACGGGUGGCGAGUGGCGGACGGGUGAGGAAUACAUCGGAAUCUACUUUUUCGUGGGGGAUAACGUAGGGAAACUUACGCUAAUACCGCAUACGACCUACGGGUGAAAGCAGGGGAUCUUCGGACCUUGCGCGAUUGAAUGAGCCGAUGUCGGAUUAGCUAGUUGGCUGGGUAAAGGCCCACCAAGGCGACGAUCCGUAGCUGGUCUGAGAGGCUGAUCAGCCACACUGGAACUGAGACACGGUCCAGACUCCUACGGGAGGCAGCAGUGGGGAAUAUUGGACAAUGGGCGCAAGCCUGAUCCAGCCAUACCGCGUGGGUGAAGAAGGCCUUCGGGUUGUAAAGCCCUCUUGUUGGGAAAGAAAAGCAGCAGGUUAAUACCCCGCUGUUCUGACGGUACCCAAAGAAUAAGCACCGGCUAACUUCGUG